GAACGCUGGCGGCGUGCUUAACACAUGCAAGUCGAACGAGAGGACAAGAGAAGCUUGCUUCUUUUGGAAUCGAGUGGCAAACGGGUGAGUAACACGUAAACAACCUGCCUUCAGGAUGGGGACAACAGACGGAAACGACUGCUAAUACCGAAUACGCUUGGGAGACCGCAUGAUCUACCAAGGAAAGGGUGGCCUCUACCUGUAAGCUAUCGCCUGAAGAGGGGUUUGCGUCUGAUUAGCUGGUUGGAGGGGUAACGGCCCACCAAGGCGACGAUCAGUAGCCGGUCUGAGAGGAUGAACGGCCACACUGGAACUGAGACACGGUCCAGACUCCUACGGGAGGCAGCAGUGGGGAAUCUUCCGCAAUGGGCGAAAGCCUGACGGAGCAACGCCGCGUGAGUGAUGACGGCCUUCGGGUUGUAAAACUCUGUGAUCCGGGACGAAAAGGCAGAGUGCGAAGAACAAACUGCAUUGACGGUACCGGAAAAGCAAGCCACGGCUAACUACGUG
rnacentral:rRNA from 1 species